CCUUUCCGGCGGUGACGACCUCCCUACGAGAACAUGCCUGUGAGUUCCUUGGUCCAGGUUUCGACAGAGAACUCGCUCUUGGGUCCGCACGGUCCUCUUGCGCUAAUUGCGGGUCCUACAGGGUCCACAUGUGCGCUCUGCGUCUCUUAGGACAGUAACCAGAGCCGCGGCGGCCCACGGGUCAGCCGCGUAGACGGGAGCGGAGAGGAGAUAAGAUGGCGGCCCAGCUACGCAGACACCAGGGGCGGCGAGGGGCGAGUUCUCCUCGCUCGCAAAGGAUCUCCUUCAUCCCUCUCCAGAAGAGGAGAAGAGGAAACACAAGAAAAAGCGCCUGGUGCAGAGCCCCAAUUCCUACUUUAUGGACGUGAAAUGCCCAGGAUGCUAUAAAAUCACCACGGUCUUUAGCCAUGCACAAACGGUAGUCUUGUGUGUUGGCUGCUCCACUGUCCUCUGUCAGCCUACAGGUGGAAAAGCAAGGCUGACAGAAGGAUGCUCCUUCAGGAGGAAGCAGCACUGAAAGCCCCUGAUUGAAGAUGAGUGGGAACCUUCCCAAUAAACACGUUUUGGAUAUAUAA